AUUGAACGCUGGCGGCAGGCCUAACACAUGCAAGUCGAGCGAGCGGCGGACGGGUGAGUAAUGCCUGGGAAUUGCCCAGUCGAGGGGGAUAACAGUUGGAAACGACUGCUAAUACCGCAUACGAUUGGAUUGCCCAGGUGGGAUUAGCUAGUUGGUGAGGUAAUGGCUCACCAAGGCGACGAUCCCUAGCUGGUCUGAGAGGAUGAUCAGCCACACUGGAACUGAGACACGGUCCAGACUCCUACGGGAGGCAGCAGUGGGGAAUAUUGCACAAUGGGGGAAACCCUGAUGCAGCCAUGCCGCGUGUGUGAAGAAGGCCUUCGGGUUGUAAAGCACUUUCAGCGAGGAGGCGUUACUCGCAGAAGAAGCACCGGCUAACUCCGUGCCAGCAGCCGCGGUAAUAC
rnacentral:rRNA from 1 species